CCCCCAAAAAUAUAAAAAUAAAACAAAAACAUUUGUAUAAAAAAUGGGAAAAUAAAAAAUGUAAAUAACGUUGUUUGUCUGUGAGUCGUCCCAAAGAAAUAGUGAAAAUACUCUCCAUUCACCAAUGCAAAAAAAAAAAAAAAAAAUCCCAAAAAUUCCCGUUUUGUCCCUUCCCCAUACUUGCCCAAAGCCCCAACCAGACCCAAAGCCCAAACCUUUCUUCCUUCCUUUCUCUCUCACAAAAUCUACUCUCUCUCUUCGACCGCCUCUCUUUUUCUCUCUAUCGUUCACAUACGCACGCACUGUUUCUCUUCCACAAUUGUCGAAUGCUGAAGCUUUCGCCUUCUCUCUCUCGUGCUCCGAUGACCUAGCAUCCGCGGCGCCGGGAGGUCCGCCGGCCGUCCACCGCCGGUCGAAGAUUCCUGACCGAGUUCCGGUGAUUUGGGGAUAUAUCUAGGGUUUGGUUUUUGGCGUUUCUUCGAUUCGAUUGGGAGCGAGAGAUACGAAGUUCGAUAAAUUUUUAGGUAUUGUUUUCUUCUUCGCGGGUUGUGGUGGUAGUGGCGGCGUCGACGCCAUGGCCGGGGGGCGUAGACGCGGAGCGAACAAGGCCAAGGCUAAGGGCCAGUUGAGCCUUGGUGAUCUUGUCCUCGCCAAGGUCAAGGGAUUCCCUUUCUGGCCUGCCAAGAUUAGCAGGCCUGAGGACUGGAAGAAACCUCAUGAUCCCAAGAAAUAUUUUGUUCAAUUUUUUGGUACUGAGGAAAUCGCAUUUGUUGCCCCUGCGGAUAUUCAGGCAUUUACUAGUGAGGCAAAGGCUAAAUUAUCAGCUCGGUGCCAAGGUAAAGCAAAGCCCUUUACCCAAGCUGUGAAGCAAAUCUGCGAGGCAUUUGAUGAGUUGCAGAAAAAUAAAUCAAGUGAUUUGAGGGAUGACACUGAUAGAUCGGAACUUGGAUGUGAGGUUCGAUCUAUUGAUGGGGUUGAGAAUAAUGAGGCCGACGCUGACACAAAGGAUGGGUCGGGUAUGAUUGGCUCUGAUGAGGAAACGAUGAAUGAGGAAAUAGGUGAUUCUAGCUCUAAGUUGGAGCGGUGUUCACAGAGACGAGGUGAAAGUGAUAAUCAGGAUCUAAAGCCUUUUGUUGAUGCUUGUUCAAGUGGCGGUGUGUCUUCUGCCUUGUCUAGUGAGAAAAAAGGUGAAAUUCUUGAAGUUGCUAAAUCAAAGGAGGUAAUUGUGAAAUCGGAACCAGAUUCUUCCAAUCCAGAGGAAGUCCUUUCUGAUGAUGGACAGAGGGCCGUGUCAAAUGGUCACAAGUUGAAGAAAAUGGGAUCUGAAUCAAAGAGAAAGAGUGAAGGUGGUCUUGAAGUACAUAAAGAUCCCAAAUCUUGUGAGCAACUGAAAGAUGGAAUGAAAAAAAAAAAUGCUACUGGUGGGAGCAGAAAGGAAUAUUUUUUGGAAAAUAAAAGGGGUUCUGAAACUUGUGGUGGAAAAAAGGCUAAAGGCGAGGCUAAGACAAAAAAUCAUUUGAAGGUUCCAAAUGAUACACAUCGUUCUUCUGUUGAUCCUGAGGAACAGUCCGAGGAAAAACUUCCUGGAAGGACAAAAAGGCCCCAGCUUGGAAUUGGCAAAUCUAAUUUGGAAGCAAAUGACAUUUUACGCUCUGCAAAAAAGUCAAAGUAUAUAGACGCAGGGGACAAUUCCCCUGUGGAAUCACUCUCCAAAAACAAAAAUAAGGCAGCUCCAAAAUCAGAUUUAAAAAGAUCAACAUCACGAGGAAAGGCAGAAAAUCACCUCACAUCAAGAGCCCACAAUGUUGUUGCACCCAAUGUUCAAGGCAAUGAAGCUGUCCUACCUCUGUCAAAACGUCGUCGGCAAGCACUAGAGGCUAUGUCUGAUUCACCUAAUGUAGUCUCUGAUAUUAAGAUGGAAAAGGAUUCUGCAGUAAAGAAUGGCGUUGCAUGCUCCAGCAGUGUAAAAGUUGUGGCAACUCAGUUACAGAGAAAAAGGAGGGCUGUUUGCCUUUAUGAUGAUGAUGACGAGGAUCCCAAAACCCCUGUUCAUGGAGGAUCUGCCACAUUUGUUAAAACACCUUUACAUGUUUCAGAUGGUAUCAAAAGUUCCAAUGCAGGUAGUAAGAGAUGUGAAAAUGCUCUAGAUAAUGGUAGAGAUUCUACUGAACCGUUGGUUAGUCACAUCAAGGAAUCCUCUAUGCCAAAUGGGUCUCUGUCACCCAAAAAACCUCAAGCCAACGAGGAGCAGCGUCCUAGCCAAUCUCAAGGUGAUGAAAAGGGGUCUGAGAGCCAACAUGAAAGUGAUGAAAAAAGGCUUGACAAGGCAGAGAAAUCAGAAUCUGAGUCGUUGUCAACCAAGGAGGCAAAACCAGUCUUGAUAUCUCCUAUAAAGUCUCCACACGUGCUUUCUGCUGUCAAACCAGCAGUUGAACAACUUAAAGCUACAAAACCGUUGGCUAAAGUCACCAGUGCAGGCAGUCAAAAGAAAGCUCAGGCAGGGCUUAGCAAGGGCUUAGUUUCAGUUUCUAACGGUUCUCAAAAUCAAGCAACAGCUCAGAGAAACAAGCCUGCUUCUUCUACAGAAAGAUCUAAACCUACUACAAAAUCUCUCUCUCGAACAAAUGACACCACUGUUCUGAGAGAAAAAUCUACAGAGCUUGGUGAAAGCAGUUUGGAAGCCAGUAGAGAGGAGCGUGGCAGUUUAUUCCUUGAUUCUAGGACACCCGACUCUGCCAUGUCUAUGAAGCUUCUUAUUGCAGCUGCACAAGCAAAGAGGAGGCAAGCUCAAUCGCAAAACUUUACAUUUGACAUUCCAGGUUCUGCCUUUGUGUCCAACAAUGAUUUCCAAGGGAGGAGCCCCAGCCCUUCUGCAGUUCGACGUUUUUUAUCUGGAUCCAGUGAUGCUAUGCUGGCAGAUAUCCAGGGUUCUUAUACUACUGCAACGUUAGGUUCUCCAUCCACUCACGCUCGCGAGUCUGCAUCACAAAGUCAGCUUGAAAUUGAAGAACUUGAGGAGAGAAGAGUUAGUUCUGGAAAUAGGGUUGCUGGAGGCUCACUUAGUGGGGGCACCGAGGCGGCUGUUGCUCGUGAUGCUUUUGAAGGAAUGAUUGAGACUUUGUCUAGGACUAAAGAAAGUAUUGGACGUGCAACUCGUCUUGCCAUUGAUUGUGCAAAGUAUGGUAUUGCAAAUGAGGUUGUGGAGCUAUUAAUCCGGAAAUUGGAAACGGAGCCUAGUUUUCACCGAAAAGUAGACCUGUUUUUCCUUGUGGAUUCCAUCACCCAAUGCUCUCAUAAUCAAAAAGGCAUUGCGGGAGCCUCCUAUGUUCCAACUGUUCAAGCAGCAUUGCCUCGUCUACUUGGUGCUGCUGCUCCAGCUGGCUCGGGUGCUCGUGAAAAUCGCCGACAGUGUCUCAAGGUUUUACGGUUGUGGCUUGAGAGGAAAAUUUUUCCUGAGUCACUUCUUCGUCGUUACAUGGAUGAUAUUGGAGUUUCGAAUGAUGAUACGACUGCUGGAUUUUCCCUUAGACGUCCAUCUCGAGCUGAGCGUGCUGUUGAUGAUCCAAUCAGAGAAAUGGAAGGCAUGCUUGUUGAUGAGUACGGCAGCAAUGCUACAUUUCAGAUGUCUGGAUUUUUAUCUUCUCACGUGUUUGAUGAUGAAGAAGAAGAAGAAGAUGAUGAUGAUCUUCCAAGUACUUCUAGGGAAAAUGGCCAUCCAUCACACGUGGAACCUACUCAUGCUUCUGGAGAGGCAGAAACAUCCAUAGUUACUCCAAGUGACAGGCGUCAUUGCAUCUUGGAGGAUGUUGAUGGUGAACUUGAAAUGGAAGAUGUUUCUGGACACCUGAGGGAUGAAAAGACGGUGCCAAGUGGCUCUUUUGAAGCAGACACACAACAAGAUGUAUCAGACAGGAUUUCAGAACCAGCUUCAACCAUUUCCACCGAGUUGCCUCCUCUACUGGAGGGUUCUCCACCAUUACCUCUUGAUUCUCCUCCUCCACCCCCACCUUUGCCUCCUUCACCACCACCACCACCACCACCACCACCCCCAUCAUCUCCAUCUCCGCCGCCGCCGCCACCACCACCGCCUCCUCUACCUUUAGAGUCACCUCCUCCUCCUUUGCCACCUUCUUGCCCCCCACCAAUGUUGGUUUCUCAACCAUCUAUAGCGACUCAGCCUUCAUUAUUAUUGCCUCAACAGAUGAUGCCAUCGCAAACGUCAGCACAGACACAUUGCUAUGCUCCUACUGGAGUCUCUGGUCCUCGGGAAUCCUCUGGGUUUAAUUCUUCAAGGCAAUUGGAACAUGGACAUAAUGAUAUGUAUGUGAACCCACAAGUUUCUCAACCGAACCAACAAUUUCCACAAGGUAGUACUCCUUAUGUACAAAGACCUUUACAUCCUGUACCACCUCAAAACCCUUCCGGCCAUUUCUCUUAUACGAAGCCCACAAUUCAGCAACAUCCUCAGCAUCCGUACCACCACCUAUACCCUUUGCCGUCCCAUCCUGAUGGUCGGAGGCCGCCAUUGGUUGGUGAUGAACAGUGGAGGAUGCCCACUAGCGAGUUCAAAUCAGAGAAUCAGCGUGGUGUAUGGAUGAAUGGGGGGAUGACAAAUUCAGGCCCACCAUUUGGCCAAGAAGGUUAUUUCCGGCCACCCUUUGAAAGGCCACCAACAAAUAACGUGGGUUUUCAGCACUCUGCACCCAAUCCUGUACCAACUGGUGCUCCAAUAUCAGGUCAUGGAGUUCCUCAGAUGUUACCGAGUAGACCAGAUAUGUCCGCUCUUAAUUGUUGGAGGCCAACUUAAGUUGUUUCAGAUCUGUGGAUGGAAGAACAAAUAUUGAAGCCCCGUUAUGCUGGGGGUCAAAGUAAAUUGUGUACAAAAUCCAACCACAACUUGAAGGCAGUGUUGAGAAGUGGAGGCCCUUGGCAGGAUUGUGUAUAUUGUAAUUUUUCCUGACAAAUGUAUCCCGAGAACAUUUGCUUCCAAGUGUAGGCUCAUGUUUCUGAGUUGUUAAUGGAGGUUUUGUAUGGUGACUGACUGAAGAAAAAUAAUAAGAGAGAUGGCUCACGAUACUAAACAGCUGAUGGAGGUUUUAUGCUGUAUAGAAUAUGAUUAACUGGAGAAAAGUUUUAAGAGAAAGGGCACACUUCAAGUCCAUUCUUUAAGUUGGUGCUACUGUCUCACACGGUAAUGCAGAGAUAAAGAAGAACUCUUGUAGACUAUAUGCGUGUUUACAGAGAAAAUGGGAGAGAGCUUCCAAGAGAAGCACUUGACUUGGUGGAUGGAGUGGGAUGGAGCGGGGUUUCAGAAUUCAAGAAAGGCUUUUCAUGAAUUGUGCUCUAUUAACUUCGGUAUAGCAUUGUGGACACAGUAUUUUUCAGAAUUCAAGAAAGGGUUUCGAAGUUUCCUUAAUUCUUAUAAUCCAUAGGCUGGAAGAGUAACUUUAACUUUCUGUUUUUGCAAAAGGAUUAAUCCAAUUUUGAAGUCAUAAUGUGGUCACUUACAAAGGCAUAGUGUUCUACUUCUUAGCAGAUAAGACUGCUUCAAAAUGUUGAGCUUUGUUAGGAUUAUUUGAAGUUGACUCCAGGUGAAGAUUUACAUUGAAAAAAGGAUAACCAUGAAGUCCGGAUAGAUUGGUUUCUACUGGUCUCAUUAAUUAAUUAAUCAGAGUACAUCCAAAUAAAGCGGAUAGAUUGGUUUUUCCACUCGGCUUAUUCAUUCCAAUAUAUUCAGAUUUGACUUCCAAGUAGGAGACCAUGCUAGCUUUUAGAAAUAGGUAAUUUCUCUCUUCUGAGAGGCUGUUUUGUUUAGACUUUAGACAUGCAAGUUUUAUAUUUUUGGCGCUUCAGUAUUUUACUCGAAGGCAUGACUAAUUUUUUUGCUUCACCUUGCUGCAUGCUAAAAAGCACAAAGCUUCUUUUAUCUUUUUACCUGUCUACCAGACAUUGAAAUGCGCACUAUUGCUUCCCUGGUUAAUAUUCCCGUUGACCUUUAACAAGUCGACUGGGUGAUUAUUCGAAUCGGAUGGGAGGUUCUGGUUCUUGGUGUGAACAUUUUAAAACAUGAUGUAUAUACAUAAUUCGGCAAAAAAAGGAAAAAAAAAAAAAAGCGUCAUUUAAACUAGGGAAUAAAUUAUAAUAAUUAAAAAAGGGCAAAACAAAAAAGAAAAAAUGAAAUCAACUAGUGAACAGCCAAGUUGCUCGAGUUGGCAGUAAAUUGCCCCAAAUUGUUGACUCACAGGACUCCAGAACUGACCGCCAAAAUUCUCCAUACUCAGGAAGAGCAUUUUCGUGCAUAACGCGACAAUUUAAUCUCUUGCAUUUUUUGCUUAUUGCAACAUUUAAUUGAAAAUAAAAGGAAAUAAAUAAAUGAGAAAAAAAAGAUAAAAAAGA